rnacentral:rRNA from 1 species
UGGGGAAUAUUGCACAAUGGGCGCAAGCCUGAUGCAGCCAUGCCGCGUGUAUGAAGAAGGCCUUCGGGUUGUAAAGUACUUUCAGUAGGGAGGAAGGUGGUUAAGUUAAUACCUUAAUCAUUUGACGUUACCUACAGAAGAAGCACCGGCUAACUCCGUGCCAGCAGCCGCGGUAAU